UAUAAUAAUAAAAGUAUUAGUAACUAAUAAAGUAUUGGUAUAAUAUUAAACAUUUCAUAUUUUAAAAUAUUCGUUUGUAAUUUAAAUAGCGUCAAUACUUUCUCCGCGUUUGACUUCGUCUACAAAUUAAAUUACCAAAUGGAGAUAAGCAACACUUAUAUUUCAACUGCCGUAUCGAUAAGACGCGUCAAAGUUUGUCCGGUUUUAAAUAUAAUUUAAACAUAGAUAUAAUAGAGAAAAAAAUUUAAUACAUUGAAAAUUUACAUGCUAAGAGCAAUUAUAGACAAGUAGAACAAAUAGUGAAAGAAGAUAAGGUAAAAAUUAGAAAAUCAGCGCCGCCUCUAGAGUGCCACAAAUGAAACACAUAUAAAUAAGAAAAAAAUAAU